UACGAAGGGUGCAAGCGUUAAUCGGAAUUACUGGGCGUAAAGGGUGCGUAGGUGGUUCGUUAAGUCUGUCGUGAAAUCCCCGGGCUCAACCUGGGAAUGGCGAUGGAUACUGGCGAGCUAGAGUGUGUCAGAGGAUGGUGGAAUUCCCGGUGUAGCGGUGAAAUGCGUAGAGAUCGGGAGGAACAUCGGUGGCGAAGGCGGCCAUCUGGGACAACACUGACGCUGAAGCACGAAAGCGUGGGGAGCAAACAGG
rnacentral:rRNA from 1 species